GGAAAGUGGUCAUCCUAAGCCAAGACCCUUUCAGAAGAACAGAAGGCCAAAGUCUUGAAUGGACAGUGCAAUUUUGACCUCCCAGAUAUUUUUAAUAAUGAUUUGGUACACACUAACACACUAUCCAAGCUACUGGAGCAGGCUAUGAGUUAUCCUGAAGAUGUAGUUUUGUUUUGGUUCUCUUUAGUACUCGAUAGCCAACAAGCCCAAGACAUGUCUCAUCUUAGUGUUGUUGUUGACACUCAUUCAGAGAUCAUGCU
rnacentral:lncRNA from 1 species